rnacentral:rRNA from 1 species
GUGGGGAAUAUUGGACAAUGGGCGCAAGCCUGAUCCAGCCAUGCCGCGUGAGUGAUGAAGGCCCUAGGGUUGUAAAGCUCUUUCACCGGUGAAGAUAAUGACGGUAACCGGAGAAGAAGCCCCGGCUAACUUCGUGCCAGCAGCCGCGGUAAUACGAAGGGGGCUAGCGUUGUUCGGAAUUACUGGGCGUAAAGCGCACGUAGGCGGACAUUUAAGUCAGGGGUGAAAUCCCGGGGCUCAACCCCGGAACUGCCUUUGAUACUGGGUGUCUGGAGUAUGGAAGAGGUAAGUGGAAUUCCGAGUGUAGAGGUGAAAUUCGUAGAUAUUCGGAGGAACACCAGGGGCGAAGGCGGCUUACUGGUCCAUUACUGACGCUGAGGUGCGAAAGCGUGGGGAGCAAACAGGAUUAGAUACCCGUGUAGUCC